rnacentral:tRNA from 2 species
UAAGGCAUAGCAUAAAUUAAUGUAUUUCACUUACGCUGAAAUGAUACUUCCGCACGGAGUUGCUUUAA